UGAGCAAUCUGCCCUUCUCUUCGGAAUAAGCGUUGGAAACGACGUUUAAUGCCGAAUACGACCUCCUUUCGCAUGAUCGGAGGUGGAAAGCUCCGGCGGAGAAGGAUGAGCUCGCGGCCUAUCAGCUAGUUGGUGUGGGUAACGCCCACCAAGGCGACGACGGGUAGCCGGCCUGAGAGGGUGACCGGCCACACUGGGACUGAGAUACCGGCCCAGACCUCCGUACGGGAGGCAG
rnacentral:rRNA from 1 species